ACCAUCCUUCAAGUCCAUAGGAAGCCUGCUGUGCACAGAAGUCUGCUUGGAGCCCUUGUGUCCCCUUUGAACAUCUGCGUCCUGAUCAGUUCGAGCGUAUUUAUGGAGACCUCUGAGGUGCCCGGCACAAGAAGCUCCAAGCAGUUUAACACUAGUCCCGCCCACCCGUGGGCGGGAGAGAAGAGACACAAAAGAAGCGGUAAGGACAUAAGGCAGGCGUGUGCUGGGUGAGGGGUCAAGGCAGGUGGGCAGGCAGGUAGGUCAUCCUCGGAUGCCAGGGAGCGGGACAGGGCGGGGAUGGAGAGACAGAAGGAAGAGCAGAUCAGGGAAGGAAUUCAGGAGGCACUGCCUUCCAAGGAGGCGCGGCCACGCUCCCUGGAGAUUCGACAUGAGGUCAGAGUCUUAGGAGCAGCAAAUCAGGCCCUGAAUGCCUAACCCAGCUUCAUUAAACCCACUGGCUUGAGGGGCUUGAGUUAGAGUUUAGGAAAAUCUUUACAGCACUAAACGUCCCUCCUUCAAACCUAGAGACCCCCCCCCUCCCUCCCCAGAGGGAGAAUACCUUCUUCCUAGGGAAUACCUCCCUCCACCUGCCUCACUCACCUCCAAGCCCACACUGGUUUCCCGCUACUGGAAGGCUCUUCUCCAGAUAUCCGCACAGCUGAAUCCCUCACUGGGCCCCACACCUCAUCAGUAAGGCUUCCAACUGCCCUUGAUUAAGUAUCAGCCCUCCCUCCCGCUCAGUACCCUUUCCUGCGCUACGUUGCCCAUUACACCUACCAUCAUCUGGCACUCAAUAUGUUUACUUGUUGGCUGCCUCUCCCAUCAGAUGUGAGCUACAACAGUCCCAGAUACGCAGUAGGUAAGCAGCAAGCAAACGUUGAAUGAAUGAGCGCAUGAACGGUCUGUCUUAGUGAAUCUCCAGAGAAUCCUCCCUAGGAUAGAGCGGGUGCUCCUGUUGGCCAAGAGCUUGGGUUUCGCGGACGGCGGCGGGAGGCAGCUACAUCCCGGUGGGAUUUCACCGUGUCGUGAGCAGUGGUAACCAGCCCGAUCACGCAUCCCCCCAGGAGGUACAGGUGCCACGUUGAACCAGCUCCUCACAUGGACGAGGAGGAAACAGAGGCCUACAGUGGGCACGGCACAGAGUCUGGCCAAGCCUCCCGCCUUGAAGCUCUUCCCAGCGCACCACACUGUCCCCAUGUGAUCCCUACAGCUCUGGGAGGCCGAUCCAGAGCAAGAGGCCGUGACGCACGUCAUAGGUCACCCGCCCUGCCUGGAGGCCGGGAAGAUCUGCCUGUGCGGCCACUUCCACGUCCUGAGAACCUGAGACCCACUCCCAGGACCACAGCCAUGGAGCCAAGGUCAAGGGAGAGAAGAAGAGAGCAGUGGGGGCUCAGCAGGCCACCUCCCCACUCCUGGAGGCCGCAGGAUGAGAUGGCCCAAGACAGGCCUGGUGAGGACAAUCAAUCCAGUGGCAAAAUAUACGAAGUUUGUGCCCUGGGCGGGUCACGUGAUCUAGACAUGCUCCCACCCCAGGGCCUUUGCACGUGCUGUUCGUGCUGCCUGAUUCUCUUUUCCCCUCAGAUUUCUAUAGCACUCACUCUCUCGGGUCUUUGCUUAACUGACCCCUUCUCCGUCAGACUUUCCUUAGGCACCCUAUUUAAAUCGAAGCUCCCCCCCACCCCCGCCACCAUUUCCCUGCUUUAUUUUUUUCCAUAGCACUUCCUGCUAUCUGACAUACUGGGUUCUUUCCCUCUCUCCCCCCCGCCCUUCCUUCCUUCCUUCCACGGUCUGCCUCCUUUAAUAGAACGUGAGAACCAUAGCAAUUGUGUUUACAGGUGUAUUUCUGGUUCUCUAUUGCUGAGUCACGGAUCACCCCAAAAAGUCCAGCAGCUGAAAACCAGCGCUUAGCUCUCCAAGUGCCCGCGAGCCAAGAGCCCCGACGAGAUGGCAGAGUCACCUCGAAGCCUGACUGGGGCUGGAAGGGCUGCGCCCAAACUCACUCAUGUGGUUGUCGCCGGGUCUGCCCUGGCUGCUGGCCCGAGGCUGAAUUCAGUUCCUCGCCUUGGGAGCGUCCCCCGUGGGGAAGCCUGGCAGCCGAGCGAGCGAUCCAGAAAGAGGGCAGAGCAAGAGAGUGAGAGAGAGCGCCUAAGAUGAAGCGUCGUCUGUCCUGACCCCGCACCGGCUGAGCCGGGCCUCGGCUUCUGCCCAGCGCCACUGGUCACUCAGACCGACUCUGGUACAGCAUGGGAGGCGCGGGCAUGACGGUGUGGACACCAGGGUGUGGGCUCAGCCCCGAAGGAUCAUAAACACCUGCCGCUCUCCUCGGCGCCCGCACCCCCACCCCCACCUCUCCCCUGACGUGUGACCUUGGGCAAGUUCCUAGACGCGGAGGCCUGCCGUGGGGAUGUAAAAAGAUGAGGCGCUAGGCAUCACAGUGUCUGACACACACACGCCCUCAGUAUAUGUCACCAUCGUGGGCAGCUGUUGCUAAUACAGGAGGGAAAAACCAAAGUAUCUUCCUGGAGGCAGGAGCCGUUUUAGAGCUGGGGGUGGCGCGCGCGCGCACGUGUGUGUGUGUGUGUGUGUGUGUGUUUCUAUAUGGUUCUCUUCCCAGAGCACUGGCUGAGAGCAGCUGUCCCAGGUCGGAAGCGCCUUGGGUGAGUCAUGCGGGCCAGACAGCGGGUUUAUCACUUGGACCAGACGUGGUCAUGUGUUGGGGCCUUCGUCACCCAAACAGGCGGGACGGGCUGACGAGCACAGGGGCUGCUGUCCUUUAAUACCGAGUUAGCCGGUGAUUCUUAAACGUUUUGCAGAGCGGGGAGGGAAGGACGGCUGGAGUCGUGGAAGCUUUUUGAAAGUUUACGUGAGGGGCGCCUGGGUGGCGCAGUCGGUUAAGCGUCCGA